CGCCCUGUAGGUGUCAUGAGGAAGAUGGCGGCGUGCAGAGGAAGCUGAGGGCUUUGAGCUCGUGGUGAGAGGUUUCCGUACAGUUGCAGCGAAGGGUUUGGGGACCCCUUCUCCCUAUUCUUGUUCGCUGUCUUGACGUAUGCGUUCACCCAGGCCCCUGGGCAUGAUGUGGCGGAUCUACCCCCGGCUGAGGGACCGGGGACGUGGUCUCUUGAGCCGGUCUUCUAGUGACCCCACCGCCUCAGUGUGGCCAAGGCCAACUCCGCGGCCUCCGGCCAGGGCCUACGUACCACCAACAGAAAGGAAGAGGUUUUAUCAGAACGUCAGCAUCUCACAGGGUGAAGGUGGCUUUGAGAUCAACCUGGACCACAGAAAGCUGAAAACUCCCCAAGCCAAGCUAUUUACCGUCCCCAGUGAGGCUCUGGCCAUUGCUGUGGCCACUGAAUGGGACUCCCAGCAGGAUACCAUCAAGUUCUACACCAUGCACCUGACCACAUUGUGCAACACAUCCUUGGACAACCCAACCCAGCGAAACAAGGAUCAAUUGAUCCGGGCAACUGUAAAGUUCCUGGACACUGAUACCAUCUGCUACAGGGUGGAAGAGCCGGAGACAUUAGUGGAACUUCAAAAGAGCGAAUGGGACCCAGUCAUAGAAUGGGCUGAGGAAAGGUACGGCAUGGAGAUCGGCUCCUCCACCAGCAUAAUGGGACCCAGCAUUCCUACCCAGACCCGAGAGGCGCUCACCAGCCACUUGUCCUCUUACAACAUGUGGGCCCUACAAGGGAUUGAGUUUAUAGUGGCCCAGCUCAAGUCCAUGUUGCUGACCUUGGGCCUGAUUGACAGGCACCUGACUGUGGAGCAGGCUGUGCUUCUGUCACGCCUGGAGGAGGAGUACCAGAUCCAGAAGUGGGGCAACAUUGAGUGGGCCCACGACUACGAACUCCAGGAGCUGCGGGCUCGCACAGCUGCUGGUACCCUUUUUGUCCACCUCUGCUCAGAAAGCUCUACGGUCAAACACAAGCUCCUACAGGAGUGAGGCCUACAGGAGUUACAAACGCUGGCUGAAAGGAACUGCACAGACGCAGAUUCUCUGAUCUGGGCUUCCUGAUGUUGGACCUCUGAACCCAGUGAAGCUCUGUUGGCCUGUACCUUUGGGGCAAUCUCAGUGUAUACCUGUGGGGUACCCACUGUGUGCCUGGGUCUUCCUUGGCCUUUGUGGCUUGGCCUUAUCCAGAAGCACUCUGUGAUGCCCUGGAGACACAAUACGCUUGUCUUGAGGUCACACAGCUUCCCAACCAGGAGCCAUUGGCCUGGCCUAUAGUGAGGGAGGCAUAGAGACUUUUUUUGACCCUUAUUUUAUUAAGUAUUUUUUCAGCCUGGAAAUAUAUCAAGCCUCAUCUUCAUCUGAGACUCCACAUUCUUGUUUUAUCUAAGCUUUGUCACCAUUUUUAUAUCUGCUACCAAUGGCUGGGGACCUCAUGGCAGGCGGGUUGAGGGGGCAGGAAACAAGCACAUCGCCACACAACCCUUUUUCAUCUGCAGCCUCAGCCUGAAGGACUUUGUCCCCCUGGCUUUUCAUCAGAUGAUCUUUUAAAAAGAGCUCUGAAUAAUACAGCAAGCUUCCUGUUAAGGUAAUGCUUUAAGUAAAAACUGCCAAGUCAGAACCUGCACACCUCUAAAAGACAUUAAAGCUCGAGGUAUAGCUCUCAGGAGACCUGGCCGAGCAGCACGGACACCAAAGGUUAAGACUGUCUCCCCCUCCCACCUCCCAGAGUAAGUUGUACACAUUCCUUUCCUACGAGAAAGUGUACUGGGCAUGGAGAUAAUUUGCCCUGGCCUUGAGUAGCCAGGGGUGGCUAAGGGGCGGGAGAAGCCACGGGUGUGCUUGCUAAAAUUGACUGGACAGCUGAAUUAAGAGGCUGGUAUUAUAGAGGAGCAUGGCCCCGCUCCCACCUGGCCCUCUGAGCUCACUAGUAUGGGGAGAUGUGUUGAGGCGAUAUGAGGCUUAGGAGAAUAUCUGGAUGACAGAGGGCUACCUAACCCAGUACCUCUCACCACACCGCUUUAUAACCUUGCUCCUUUGAGGAAAUUGCGUAAACAGCAGAACCCUUUCAUGCUCUUUUGGACCAUUAAAAUGUUUUAGUGUCUGUGGCUGCUGAAUCCCUGGUCAGGUUGGCACUUGUUUGGAACAGAUGCUGGUGGGCCUUCAGAGAACCUGCCCACUCUAUAAAAGGGAUCCAUCACGUAAUGUUAAUUUCCGAAUGAUUUUCAGACUUAGAAAUGUAUCUGAAGGACAUGCACACGUACUCAGAGGAACAAGGAUGGGAAGUCAACCCAUACAAGGGCCAGGGGUCCGGCAACAGCUGUGAACAUCUUUGAGACUUUUGUGGUUAGGUAAGACACAGGUGCCACCUGACAAGGUGAUUGAGACAUUCUUGCAACAGCCUGUGUCUACAGAAAACAGGAAUGUCGGGGCUGGAGAAAUGGCUCAGAGGUUAAGAGCAUGUCCUGCUCUUCUAAAGGUCCUGAGUUCAAUUCCCAGCAACCACAUGGUGGCUCACAACCAUCUGUAAUGAGGUCUGGUGCCCUCUUCUGGCCUGCAGUCAUAAACACAGACAGAAUAUUGUAUACAUAAUAAAUAAAUAAAUAUUUAAAAAAAAAAAAACACAGGAAUGUCACCAGGCAUGGUACAUGCCUUUAAUCCCAGCACUUGGGAGACAGAGGCAAGCAGAUCUCUGAAGCUAGCCUGGUCUACAGAGUGAGUUCUAGGGCAGCCAGAGAUACUACAAAGUGACAUGUCUCAAAAAAAAAAAAAGAAAAGGAAAAACAACAAACCAUGAGUGUCAACUCAGAAAGCACCUGCAUGAGUAGGAAAAGGCACACCCAGAAGACAUAAUAAGGUUGUGAAUGAAAGUUUCAGUGCCAGGGUGGGCUUCCUCCCUGAGUUGCUGGUGGGGAGGUUCCUUAGGUACAACACAGUUCUGACUGCUGUUGGUUGCAGACCAGAGCAGAACUAGAAGCUCCCUCCAUACUGGCUGAGCUGGUAGGUUGGAGAGCACUGUGCAGGCUGCCGGGGAGAGUUCUUACCAAUGAUCCUGCUCAGCUGUGCACCUCACGUGUUACGCUCUCAGCAUGCUGUGCACAAUUCAGCCAUGCAAUAGUGGCAUGAUAUAUGGGUAUGAAAAAAACUAUGUCCCAAGAUCUGCAAAGGAGGUCAGGUUUUGGUGGAGAAGCUAUUGCUGUCUUGUUAAAUGAAUAUGCUUUACUGUCAGGUUGUGUGUGCCCCUCUACCUUGCUCUUGCUUUCUACCCAUCUGGCCUCACCCCACACACCCCUUUUUUUUUUUUUUUUUGGAGACAGCAUCUCUACCCUAGGCUUGUCUUAAACUCACUGUGUGGCUGAAUGUGGCCUGGGAUUACAAGUGUGUGCCCCAGUCUGAUUUUCAGAUUGGAUUCUAGUAUCUGUGCUUCUGUGGUUGGCCUUCAUUAACAAUGCUUUUAGUAUUAAAGAGUGGUGAUUGUUGAUCAGACUACUGGGAACAAGUGCACAGCCCUGAGUGGAAGAAAAUGACCGUCCAUCUCUAGCAGUCAUGCUCACCAGGGUACAGGGAGCACUGCAGAAGAGGCAAUGGAAAGAAUGCCAGAGCCAGGGGAAAGAGUAUGUGAAAAUUUGUCCGUUUGGUGUGGCAUGGCCAUUGCCAUCUGGAAAUCAGAGCAGCUGUAAUUACCUGCAUGAGGCCAUCACAAGAUUGGCCCGAUAAUACUCCCUCAUGGGAGGAGAGAGCCCGUAAGGCUUGUGUCCUCCCUAGGGAUAUGUAAGUAUCUACCAUUUCUAGAGGGAGGGCAAGACUGCCUGCAAAUUGCCUGUGUUCCUGUAAGUCAUCCUAAUUAAGCCCAUUGGUUAUUAUGCUGGACUUGGAUGGAAUUGUUUCUUUGGUCUGUUGUUCUUACCUGAGGUAAGCAGAAAUGACCUCCCCAUGAGAAGUCGCUACUAUCCCUAAAAGCUCAUGUGUCAAAGAUCAGUGCCCCUUGGGUCUUGUGAUUAGGUGGCAGAACCUAAUGGGAGGUCUUUAGGUCAGUGAGGUUGUGCUAUCAAAGGGGGUUCUUGAGACCCCGUCCUUCCUCUUCUUCUCUCUUUGGCCAUGAGGUAGGAGGUUUCAUACUGUGUGCCUGCCAUGAUGAU